AAAACAACGAUGACAAAGAGUAGUAGCUUAAAGUUAACCAUAUCCAGGGAGAAAAUGCCUUGACUGAAAGCAUUUUUAUGGCACUGCUUAAGUGAAUUCACCUUUCGAGUUGGCAUUGGGAAGACAGAAUGUCCGAAAAAUGUUCCGGUGAAGAGCCGUUAUUUUUAAUGAAGUGAGUGCAGAAGUUUUUUUGUUUGUGCACUAAUAAGGGUGGUACCGCGAUACAUAAACCUCGUCCCUUUA
rfam:Bacillus sp. FJAT-22058 super1, whole genome shotgun sequence.